rnacentral:rRNA from 1 species
CCUACGGGAUGCAGCAGUGGGGAAUAUUGGGCAAUGGGCGCAAGCCUGACCCAGCAACGCCGCGUGAAGGAAGACGGCUUUCGGGUUGUAAAAUUCUUUUAUCAGGGACGAAACAAGUGACGGUACCUGAGUAAUAAGCCACGGCUAACUACGUGCCAGCAGCCGCGGUAAUACGUAGGUGGCAAGCGUUAUCCGGAUUUACUGGGUGUAAAGGGCGUGUAGGCGGGAAAGCAAGUCAGAUGUGAAAGCCAUGGGCUCAACCUGUGGCCUGCAUUUGAAACUGUUUUUCUUGAGUACAGGAGAGGUAGACGGAAUUCCUGGUGUAGCGGUGAAAUGCGUAGAUAUUAGGAGGAACACCAGUGGCGAAGGCGGUCUGCUGGACAGCAACUGACGCUGAGGCGCGAAAGCGUGGGGAGCAAACAGGAUUAGAUACCCGAGUAGUC